rnacentral:rRNA from 1 species
UACGUAGGGUGCAAGCGUUAUCCGGAAUUAUUGGGCGUAAAGAGCUCGUAGGCGGUCUGUCGCGUCUGCUGUGAAAACUCAGGGCUUAACCCUGAGCUUGCAGUGGGUACGGGCAGACUAGAGUGCGGUAGGGGGAGAUUGGAAUUCCUGGUGUAGCGGUGGAAUGCGCAGAUAUCAGGAGGAACACCGAUGGCGAAGGCAGAUCUCUGGGCCGUAACUGACGCUGAGGAGCGAAAGCGUGGGGAGCGAACAGG